UCUUAAAUAAUUAUUAAUUUAUUUUUAUAAAAUAUUAAUUUUUUUAGUACAAUGAAAUAAUUUUUUUAAUAAUAGUUUAUAAGUAUUGUGAGAGAAAUUUGAAAUAAUUGAAAGAUUUAAGAUUUUUAAAGAAAAAUUAAAAUUUUGUACCUUGUGUAUCAGGGUUAAUUAAUUUUAUUGUUUUUAUAUAAACUGGUCUCGAAUUAAGAGGAGCUAAGAUCUUAUUUAUUUUAAUGUUUUAUAAUUAUUUAUAAUAAGUUCUUUGUAAUGAAACGUUAUACGUCUCUUUAUAUAUCUAGUUUUUUAAGAAAAAAUUUUAAUUUUAUUAUUCUUUUUUAUUUUACUUUUUUUGUAAUUUAUUUAUGGAUUAAUUUAUAUUUUGAGGGAUAAUCUUCAAUUUAUAUUUUUAUAAAGUUUAAUUAUUUAAUGUUUUGUAGGAUUAGUAAUUUUCAUCAUAAAGUUUGUUAUAAUUUUUCAUUUUUAGUAAACUAUUUUUUAACUUUUAAGUUUUUUAUUAAAAUAAUUUUUUUAAUUUUUAAAAAAUGUAAUAAUGAUUAAAUUAGUAAAAUUUUUAUUUAUAAUUAAUUUUAGUUGUAAGUUAAUAUAAAGGAACUCGGCAAUUUUAGUUUUUGCCUGUUUAUUAAAAACAUGUCCUUUUGUUAAAUAUUUAAGGUCUGAUCUGCCCAAUGAAUUUGUUAAAUGGCCGCGAUAUUUUGAUCGUGCGAAGGUAGCAUAAUCAUUAGUUUUUUAAUUGAAAGCUGGAAUGAAGGAUUGGACAAAAAACUUUCUGUCUCUAUUUUAUUUAUUGAAGUUUAUUUUUGAGUUAAAAAGCUUAAAUUUUAAUGAAAGACGAGAAGACCCUAUAGAGUUUAAUAUUUUUAUGUUUUAAGGUAAUUUUAGUAUAAAAUUCUUAAAUUUAAUAAAAUAUUUAAUUGGGGUGAUGGAAAAAUUUAAUAAACUUUUUCUUUAUAAAAUAUUAAUUUAUAGAUAUUUGACUUAUUUUUUUAGUUAUAAGAUUAAAUUACCUUAGGGAUAACAGCGUAAUUUUUCUUGAGAGUUCUAAUCGAAAGAAUAGUUUGCGACCUCGAUGUUGGAUUAAAGUUAAAAUUUGGUGUAGAAGCUAAAUGAUUUAGUCUGUUCGACUAUUAAAACUUUACAUGAUCUGAGUUUAAACCGGCGUGAGCCAGGUUGGUUUCUAUCUUCAGUAUUUUAUAGUAUUUUAGUACGAAAGGACCAAAUAUUUUUUAUAAUAAUUUUUUAUUGAUCAAUAUU
rnacentral:rRNA from 1 species